rnacentral:SRP_RNA from 1 species
GCUGGGCGUGGUGGCUCAUGCCUGUAAUCCCAGCACUUUGGGAGGCUGAGGCAGGCGGAUCACCUGAGGUCAGGAGUUCAAGACCAGCCUGGCCAACAUGGUGAAACCCUGUCUCUA